rnacentral:rRNA from 1 species
GACGAACGCUGGCGGCGUGCUUAACACAUGCAAGUCGAACGGAAAGGCCAUGCGUUUGCGGCGUGCUCGAGAGGCGAACGGGGGAGUAACACGCGAGUAACAUGCCCUUGACUGUGUGGUAAAUUCAGGAGACUGCGGAUAAUACAGCAUAGGAGCUCCUGCUGCAUGGGGGGGGAUAGAAAGUGUCGGCGGUUUGGGAUGGACUCGCGGGAUACGCGCUGGUUGGUGGGGUAGUGGAUGACAAAGGUUUUGACGGGUAGCCGGCCUAGGAGGGUGACCGGCCACAUGGGGCCUGAGAUACGGACCAGACUCCUACGGGAGGCAGUGGUGGGGAAUAUUGCACAAUGGGCGCAAGCCUGAUGCAGCAACGUCGCGUGCGUGAUAACGUCCUUCGGGUUGUAAACCGCUGUCGCCUGUGACGAAGCGUGAGUGACGGUAAUGGGUAAAGAAGCACCGGCUAACUACGUG